rnacentral:lncRNA from 1 species
GGACUUCCCUGGUGAUCCAGUGGUUGGAGAACCACCUUGACGUUUCGAUCCUCGGUCCAGGAAGAUCCCACAUACUGCGGGACAACCAAGUCGGUGGCUACGACUACUGAGGCCGUCCACUCUAGGACCCGUGGUCCACAGCAGAAGAAGCCCCUGAAGUGAGAAGCCAGCGCGCUGCAAUGAAGAGUGGCUGCAGCUCUUCGCAGUUAGAGAAAGUCAUGUGCAGCAGUGAAGACCUAGCACAGCCAUAAAUAAAUAAAUAUUAAAAAUAGAAAAAAUGCAACUAUUCUUAGAAGCCAAGUGAAAUGCAGUAGAGUCAUAUUUUCAAGAGUAGCAAAAGAGAACAAUCUCUCUUGAGAUUUGACGUCUUGAGAUUUGACUCAAUCUUGCAUAGUUUUUUUUUUUUUUACUCCCAGAAAAUACCUACUAAUCAGUUUUCCCUCUUCUGCAAAAAUAAGUAAGCACUUUUAUAAGUUGGACUUUAGUAUCAGCAUUAUGUCUGUGAAACAGCUCUCUGGGAGAACCUUAAAAAGGAUGUGAAAGCAAAAGAGCUGUCUCUAAGUUAAAUUUACAUUUUAUGAUAAUUUAGGAAUUUUCUGUUCGUGUUUCACUUACGCAGCUGGAUUUUGACACUUUUAGGGCUGGGGUCACAUGUCAGGUACUUUUGUAUUCCCAUUCCUCACUCAGAGAAAAGCUGUGGAAUGAAUGAACAAGCUGGCUUCUGUAGCUUCUCUCUUUUCUUUUACCAGCAAAUUAGCAGUGCAUGCCUGUGUGGAAGGAGUUUUUAAGCAGAACUCAUGCAUUGUGCAGCCACUGAAUGAUCAACAGAUGCUCAAAAAUACUGUGACAUUGUAAAUAAAUAUUUUUUGCAGUGGCAGCUGUUCUGACAAAAAAAAAAAAAAACCCUAGACAUUAAAAAAAAGCUAGACGUGAUUGCCAAAAAAUGCAGAAAAGUAAGAUAAGUUGUGCCCAGCAGUUAAUUUAUAAAAAUGACUGAGUGAAAAACACUAGGUCAAUGCCAUUGUAAUAAAAGCUGUCUUAGACAUGAAAGGCAUGUCAUGCCAGACAUGGCCACAAGGGGGUGCACCAAAGUCAGUCUGAAGGAAGAGAAAAGUGUUCUUGGCUCAGUCGUGUCUGAUUCUUUGUGACCCCAUGGACUGUAACCUGCCAGGCUCCUCUCUGUCCAUGGAAUUCUCCAGGCAAGAAUACUAGUGAGGGUAGCCAGCCAUUCCCUUCUCAGGGGAUCUUCCCCGGCCCAGGGAUACGAACCCAAGUCUUUUGCAUUGCAGGCAGAUUCUUUACCAUCUGAGCCACCGGGGAAGCCUGAAGGAAGAGAGGAGGGGAGGAAAAGCACAGGUCACAGUUUUUGUUAUGUUUUCUGUGGAAAAAGCAAGGCAGAGAAAGGCAAACAAAUUAGGAUAUCUGAGUAAUUCCAGCGAACUUUGGGGGACAGGGCUGUCCCUGUUGUCUGGUAUCUGAUCUUGGGAAGAUUUAGGGCAGGGGAAAUGCUGGCCCUGUGUGUGACUGCUGGCUAAAGGAGGUGGCUGGUGGUGCGGAGUUUGAAUUGGUUGGUGUAUAGGAAAGCUGGGCUCACCAACCAACAUACUGUUUCCUGUCUCAGGAAUUAGCAAGCCCUAAAGGGCAGUCCCUUCCCCAGCCAGCAAAGCCCCCAAAGAUGUCAAAACCUCAUAAGAUAUAGAACAUAAGUAUAAUUAAUGCAUAAAAUCCAAGAGCUUAAAAGAAAUGUUAUGACAAGAAGUAUAUAAAUGAGAAAUUUUUACCUAUACCUGUUAAUGUGAUACUGCUUUAGGUGUUGUGUUAAAUCUGUAAGUUAACUUGAAAAGCAAUGCCAUCUUCACUACAGUUACUUUUCUUGUCCAUGAGUAUUUCUCUGUUUCAGGGUUCCUUUAUUUCUUUUUAUUUCUUUUAAUAAGUUUUAUAAAUUUUCUCUGAGUAGAUUUUAUUAUCUAAGUUAUAUUAUUCCCACUAUAUUCCUUCUUAUUAUUAUAAAUAGGAUUAAAAAAGAAGAAAAAAAUUUUCUUACUUAUAUCACUCGUAUAUUAAAGUGAAAGUAUUUUUUGUGGCUGUAUGUAUUGUCAUAUAUUGCAAAUUUGCAGAGUUAAUUUAUUGGGAUGGCCCAAAUGUUCAUUCAGUUUUUCUCUAAGAUAUCAAAAACCUAAAUGAAACUUUAGGCCAACCCAGUAUUAUCUUUAAUAGAUCUUUAGUUUAAAAAACUUUUUGCUAUAAAAACUUGAAAAUUUAUAUUAGUACCCAUCACCCAGGCUCAACAAUUACUGAAAUUUUACCUUAUUUCUUCUAUUUCCCCUCUCCCAUACAUUCAGGUCCUUCAGUUCCACUU